GACACAGUCUUAUUCUGUUUUAGGUGACUU
rnacentral:piRNA from 1 species